GACGAACGCUGGCGGCGUGCUUAACACAUGCAAGUCGAACGAAGAGCGAUGGAAGCUUGCUUCUAUCAAUCUUAGUGGCGAACGGGUGAGUAACGCGUAAUCAACCUGCCCUUCAGAGGGGGACAACAGUUGGAAACGACUGCUAAUACCGCAUACGAUCUAAUCUCGGCAUCGAGGAUAGAUGAAAGGUGGCCUCUACAUGUAAGCUAUCACUGAAGGAGGGGAUUGCGUCUGAUUAGCUAGUUGGAGGGGUAACGGCCCACCAAGGCGAUGAUCAGUGGCCGGUCUGAGAGGAUGAACGGCCACAUUGGGACUGAGACACGGCCCAGACUCCUACGGGAGGCAGCAGUGGGGAAUCUUCCGCAAUGGACGAAAGUCUGACGGAGCAACGCCGCGUGAGUGAUGGCGGCCUUCGGGUUGUAAAGCUCUGUUAAUCGGGACGAAAGGCAUUCUUGCGAAUAGUGAGAAGGAUUGACGGUACCGGAAUAGAAAGCCACGGCUAACUACGUG
rnacentral:rRNA from 1 species